rnacentral:tRNA from 1 species
GCCUAUAUAGCUCAGUGGUAGAGCACUGUUCUCGUAAACCAGGCGUCGUGAGUUCAAUCCUUACUGGAGGCA